ensembl:snoRNA
GCAUGGUUAUGGAUUUAUGGUGUGGCCCACACAUGGCUACCUCAUAGUGUACCCCAUGCUAGAUCAAGCUGCUGCUCCGAACCAUUGGCAGGUGUAUAUCUGUGAGCCUGAUCCACUGAAGAGAGCUGUAUAGCU